rnacentral:rRNA from 1 species
UACGUAGGGUGCGAGCGUUGUCCGGAAUUAUUGGGCGUAAAGAGCUCGUAGGCGGUGUGUCGCGUCGGCCGUGAAAACCUGGGGCUUAACUCUGGGCGUGCGGUCGAUACGGGCAUCACUAGAGUUCGGCAGGGGAGAUUGGAAUUCCUGGUGUAGCGGUGAAAUGCGCAGAUAUCAGGAGGAACACCGGUGGCGAAGGCGGGGUCUCUGGGCCGAAAAUUGACGCUGGAGGAGCGAAAGCGUGGGGAGCAAACAGGGA